UACGGGGGGGGCAAGCGUUGUUCGGAAUUACUGGGCGUAAAGGGCUCGUAGGUGGCCAACUACGUCAUACGUGAAAUCCCUCGGCUUAACCGGGGAACUGCGUCUGAUACUGGAUGGCUUGAGGUUGGGAGAGGGAUGCGGAAUUCCAGGUGUAGCGGUGAAAUGCGUAGAUAUCUGGAGGAACACCGGUGGCGAAGGCGGCAUCCUGGACCAAUUCUGACACUGAGGAGCGAAAGCCAGGGGAGCAAACGGG
rnacentral:rRNA from 1 species